rnacentral:piRNA from 1 species
UGAUUGCUAAAGGUCUUGAUGGAGACGGAA